AUUGAACGCUGGCGGCAGGCCUAACACAUGCAAGUCGAGCGAGCGGCGGACGGGUGAGUAAUGUAUGGGGACUGCCCGAUAGAGGGGGAUAACUACUGGAAACGGUAGCUAAUACCGCAUACUAUCGGAUAACCCAUAUGGGAUUAGCUAGGAGGUGAGGUAAUGGCUCGACUCGGGGACGAGACCUAGCUGGUCUGAGAGGAUGCUCAGCCCCACUGGGACUUAGACACGGCCCAGACUCCUACGGAGGCAGCAGGGGGGAAUAUGGCACAAGGGGCGCAAGCCUGAUGCAGCCAUGCCGCGUGUAUGAAGAAGGCCCUAGGGUUGUAAAGUACUUUCAGUCGGGAGGCGUUACCGACAGAAGAAGCACCGGCUAACUCCGUGCCAGCAGCCGCGUAAUAC
rnacentral:rRNA from 1 species